UACGUAGGGUGCGAGCGUUAAUCGGAAUUACUGGGCGUAAAGCGUGCGCAGGCGGUUGGUUAAGUCUGAUGUGAAAGUCCAGGGCUCAACCCUGGAAGGCCGGUGGAAACUGUCGGGCUGGAGUCCGGAAGAGGCGAGUGGAAUUCCUGGUGUAGCGGUGAAAUGCGCAGAUAUCAGGAGGAACACCAAUGGCGAAGGCAGCUUGCUGGGACGGUACUGACGCUGAGACGCGAAAGCGUGGGGAGCAAACAGG
rnacentral:rRNA from 1 species